rnacentral:tRNA from 1 species
GAGGGUAUAGCUCAAAUGGUAGAGCACAUGCUUAGCACGCACAAGGUCCUGGGUUCAGUGCCCAGUACUCCCU